AUGCCGCCACCUCCCCACAAGCUCUCCGCCCCGCCAUGGAAGCCUCGUCAUCGGUCGUCCCGACCUCGAGAUACGUCGCCGCCAUGGGAGCCGAGCACCAAGCUCCUCUGUGCCCCGCCCGCCAUGGGAGAUCUGAGGCCGGCCGGGAGGCGGGGAUGGGGUGCCGGUGGACCUCGGCGAUCUGCGCGGUGGCGCUGCUCUGGCUCGCCACGGCCGCAGCCGGAGAUCCCGAUCCCGAUGAGCUCGAGCGCGCAUUGCCAAUGCCAAUUUACCAAUGAUUUCAGGUCUGCGAAAGUUGGAUUUUGGACAGGCUUUCAAGAGCAUGACCAAAGCAGAGACACACACAUGCAGCGCGGCAACAAUUCUUCUUCCUCAAAGCAUAUAUUUUCUCCAAGCGAUCAACAAAGUGAUUGGUCCAUCUAG
rnacentral:rRNA from 1 species